rnacentral:rRNA from 1 species
GAUGAACGCUAGCGGCAGGCUUAAUACAUGCAAGUCGAGGGGCAGCAUGAAGUAGCAAUACUUUGAUGGCGACCGGCAAACGGGUGCGGAGCACGUACACAACCUCCCUUUAAGUGGGGAAUAGCCCAGAGAAAUUUGGAUUAAUACCCCGUAACACGACGAAGUGGCAUCACUUUGCUGUUAUAGUUUCGACGCUUAAGGAUGGGUGUGCGUAUGAUUAGAUAGUUGGCGGGGUAACGGCUCACCAAGUCUACGAUCAUUAGCUGAUGUGAGGGCAUGAUCAGCCACACGGGCACUGAGACACGGGCCCGACUCCUACGGGAGGCAGCAGUAAGGAAUAUUGGUCAAUGGACGCAAGUCUGAACCAGCCAUGCCGCGUGAAGGAUUAAGGUCCUCUGGAUUGUAAACUUCUUUUAUAUGGGACGAAAAAAGGUCUUUCUAGACCCCUUGACGGUACCAUAUGAAUAAGCACCGGCUAACUCCGUGCCAGCAGCCGCCGUAAUAC